rnacentral:rRNA from 1 species
UAAUACGGAGGGGGCGAGCGUUGUCCGGAUUUACUGGGCGUAAAGCGCGUGUAGGUGGCGCGUUAAGUGGGGUGUGAAAGCCCGGGGCUCAACCCCGGGAUGCCGCUCCAGACUGGCGCGCUUGAGGACGGAAGAGGGGCGUGGAAUUCCUGGUGUAGCGGUGAAAUGCGUAGAGAUCAGGAGGAACACCCGUGGCGAAGGCGGCGCCCUGGUCCGUUACUGACGCUGAGACGCGAAAGCGCGGGGAGCGAACGGGAUUAGAUACCCCGGUAGUCCGCGCCGUAAACGAUGGUCACUAGGUGUGCGUGGUAUCGACCCCACGCGUGCCGUCGCUAACGCACUAAGUGACCCGCCUGGGGAGUACGGCCGCAAGGUUG